AGGUAGAGGUCACCAGCAUAGGUCAGAGGGGAUAUUGUAUGUAACUGGUGACAUUUGAAAGAGACAUAUUGGACAGAAAUGACAUACGUGAAAGCUAAGAUACAAUAUAUUUAAUUUUCUAAGAAUUCAGUUCAAGGUAGUCUGCCUGGUUUCUCAAGUUCUGCAUGUUUCUUCAGUAGACUAAAUAAUGAUAAGGAAGCUGAGAUGUAGAGCUGAAGUGUCUUGCCCAAGAUCAUUUGUCUACUGCAGCUCCUGUUCCACUUCCUUUCUUGUACUGCUGAACAUCCAGAUAGAGGCAUUGACAUGCAUGGUUUCCAACUGAUCACUUCCUACUCCCUUAAGGACCUCCUGUCAGGCAGUUUUGCUAAUUUCUUUAAUAUCAGAAGACAGCUGGAUUCUCAUUUCUGCUUCUGCAUUCAGUCUAUUGUGAUAUAGCAUAUCAUGUAACUUCUGAAAAACUUCACUGUACACAGAUGCUGACCUCACAGACUCCCUGAAAGGAUCUCCAUGACCUCUAUGGUUCCUUAGACUGCACUUUGAGAACUAUUGACGUACAGGGAAAAAUGCUCUUGGUGUUCCAGUUAAGCACAGAAUAAAAUCUGGACUGUGUCAGUUUGUAAAGAUCUUAUGUCUACUUGGUCAUCAGCCAAGAAGGGAUUCCGAAGAUAGAAGAGGAGGCAUCAACACCGUGAACAUCAUGGCUGAGUUAUUUUGUGAGAGGGAUAAGCCUAAAGUAAAAACCUUGGAUUUGCCUCUGUCCUUGAACAUGCUAUCUGGAAAGAGUUUUCUUAAAAGUAUUGUUGUGAACACAUCCAUUUUCCCAGUAUAGUUGAAUGCAGGGUUUAAUAAAUGGAAUGAAUCUAGUU
rnacentral:lncRNA from 1 species